rnacentral:rRNA from 1 species
GUAGUCCUGGCUGUAAACGAUGUCGACUUGGAGGUUGUGCCCUUGAGGCGUGGCUUCCGGAGCUAACGCGUUAAGUCGACCGCCUGGGGAGUACGGCCGCAAGGUUAAAACUCAAAUGAAUUGACGGGGGCCCGCACAAGCGGUGGAGCAUGUGGUUUAAUUCGAUGCAACGCGAAGAACCUUACCUGGUCUUGACAUCCACGGAAGUUUUCAGAGAUGAGAAUGUGCCUUCGGGAACCGUGAGACAGGUGCUGCAUGGCUGUCGUCAGCUCGUGUUGUGAAAUGUUGGGUUAAGCCCCGCAACGAGCGCAACCCUUAUCCUUUGUUGCCAGCGGUCCGGCCGGGAACUCAAAGGAGACUGUUAGUGAUAAACUGGAGGAAGGUGGGGAUGACGUCAAGUCAUCAUGGCCCUUACGACCAGGGCUACACACGUGCUACAAUGGCGCAUACAAAGAGAAGCGACCUCGCGAGAGCAAGCGGACCUCAUAAAGUGCGUCGUAGUCCGGAUUGGAGUCUGCAACUCGACUCCAUGAAGUCGGAAUCGCUAGUAAUCGUGGAUCAGAAUGCCACGGUGAAUACGUUCCCGGGCCUUGUACACACCGCCCGUCACACCAUGGGAGUGGGUUGCAAAAGAAGUAGGUAGCUUAACCUUCGGGAGGGCGCUUACCACUUUGUGAUUCAUGACUGGGGUGAAGUCGUAACAAGGUAACCGUAGGGGAACCUGCGGCUGGAUCACCUCC